UACGUAGGGGGCAAGCGUUGUCCGGAUUUACUGGGCGUAAAGCGCAUGUAGGUGGCUUGAAAAGUUGGACGUGAAAGCUCCUGGCUUAACUGGGAGAGGUCGUACAAAACUAGCAAGCUUGAGGUUGGAAGAGGAGAGCAGAAUUCCCGGUGUAGUGGUGGAAUGCGUAGAUAUCUAUCGGAACGCCAAAGGUGAAGACAGGCCGCUGGGCUUGUACUGACGCUGAGGAACGAAAGCGUGGGGAGCAAACGGG
rnacentral:rRNA from 1 species